rnacentral:lncRNA from 1 species
ACCAUAAUAUAAUAUUGCAUAUAUGAUUGCUAGGUUUAGUACAUUGAUGCGCUUAGAGCACUAAUAAGUAAUGCUAGUGGAAACAACACAACUGAUCCACUCCAUUGACACUAUGGCAUCAUUAUACAGCACUCGCUAACAAAUGCUUGAGACAUGCAGAUCAAGGAAGCAACAUGAUUAAUUCUAGUAACUAAUAAUUCGUCAACCAUCACAACAAUCAAACCAUGUAGUGUAACAAAACCAGCAGCAAAUUCAUGGACCCCCAAGAGUGAUCCUACCACAAACCCCUCUAUGAUCAGACACUUCCUUCUUGAUUUAGGAGACUAUGCACUUCAUGCAUUUGCACUUGGUCCCUCAUCUGUAGAUGCCGUUCCCAGUGCUGUAGAAACACAAACAAAAAUAAUGAAAACGGCAUCAGCAGAUUGAAACAUGGAUUUGCCACCAAUGAAACAUUUGUUUAUUCAUAACCACAAGGGCCCACAAGGUCCUGCUAAUGGUUAACCAAACAGCGCUUGCAUAGUAGAGUCGAUAAGAUAAGGUAGGCUCAAAAUCUGGAGAAACACUUCUCUUUGUUCAGCACAUAUUAUCCACAUUCUUCAUUUGAUGUCUAAAACUGCUAAAGUACAACAAAAGGAACAUAUAUAUAUAUAUAUAUAUAUAUAUAUAUAUAUAUAUAUAUAUAUAUAUAUAUAUAUAUAUAUAAGGUUAAAGGAUAGUAGCUGGAGGGUAACUCAUGUAGGCAAUAACUUUUUUGGUCUUUAUCUGCUAGAUAAGUUCCAACCUUGGCCAAAAUAAUACCAAUCAUCAGAGCCCCAUAUCCAUCGAUCAGCUACAUGUAUAUCAGGCCUUGUUUAGUUCUAUUUUUUUUUCAAAAUAGACAUUGUAGCACUUUCGUUUGUAUUUGACAAAUAUUUAUUGUUUAAUCAUAAACUAAGUAAGCUCAAAAGAUUCAUCUCUCAAAUUAUAGGCAAAUUGUAUAAUAUACUCUAUGCAUGUGCUGCAAGAUUCGAUGUGACGAGAGAAAUCUAAAAAAUUUUACAUUUUUUUUUAAAACUAAACAAAGCCUAUCUUGAAUGACACAUAUCACCAAUGCCUACGUAAGCCCUUACCGGUCGCACGUUGUCACGCCAUAUUUUGGCGGCGUCGUACAGGGUAGGGGUAGCUGGGGCCGUAGUCGGCGGUGGCUGCGCCGACCAUCGCCGUCCGGCGAACUAUCCUGUCGGACCUCGGGACCACCGGCGGCAUCGCUGCAAUGGGCGUGGUCGCUGGAGUCUGGAGGAUGCUGGCUUGGGCCCUUUUUAAACACGAGAUUCGG